AGCCCCCUAGUGUAGUGGCCAAUCAUGAGAGGCCCUGGCCCUCUAGACGCAGGUUCGAAUCCUGCGGGGGCUA
rfam:Candidatus Nanosalina sp. J07AB43 genomic scaffold scf_7180000030744, whole genome shotgun sequence.